UACGUAGGGCGCAAGCGUUAUCCGGAAUUAUUGGGCGUAAAGAGCUCGUAGGCGGUUUGUCGCGUCUGCCGUGAAAGUCCGGGGCUCAACUCCGGAUCUGCGGUGGGUACGGGCAGACUAGAGUGAUGUAGGGGGAGACUGGAAUUCCUGGUGUAGCGGUGAAAUGCGCAGAUAUCAGGAGGAACACCGAUGGCGAAAGCAGGUAUCUGGGCCAUCACUGACGCUGAGCUGCGAAAGCUAGGGGAGCAAACAGG
rnacentral:rRNA from 1 species